rnacentral:misc_RNA from 1 species
UACCACAGCUUGCCAUGAUCUCUAGGUAUGUGCUGACGUGUGUGUGUGUGUGUGCGUCGACGAUCCACACCAACACCCUCCUCCAAGAGGAGUACCAUUGCCUCACGGAUAUCAUAUGAAGCGACUUCCACCGCCACGUGCUGCCGUUCCUCCCACCCGCUCACCCCCUCCACCUCGUCUUGCACACCGAGUCACAGACGCGACUGGUUCGCUUAGCCAAGAGAACAACAAGAGCGAAGAAACAACGAGAAAACCGAAGGGAAAACGGCAAACAAAGACGUGCACUUGAUAUCCCCCCCUCCCCUCUGAUCUGCUCUGCUCUGCUCGCCCGCCCCUGCCCGGUCUUUACGCACCCGCUCUGCGCUCGUCUCCUCGAAAGCGAACACAAAACAAGAAGAGAGAAACGAGGGAGCGACACAUGCAACAUCUGCAACAAUAGGACGACGCAUGACAUGAUGUGCGUGAGUGUGGGUAGCACUCGUCGUGGUGGGGCUCAUCCCUCCUCCUGUGUAUGCAUGCAUAUUGUGAUGGUUGUCUUUCUCGCUUUGCGUGUGUGUGUGUGUGUGUGUGCUUGUGGGUAGGCGUGUGCGCAUUAUGUCUGGGGCCUCACACGCUCCUCUCUCGUCUCGCCUGCUUCCACUUCCUCUUGUUUUUCCGCCUUUCCACCCACGCCACUCUCUCUCUCUCUCGCCCUCUCUCCCCCAUCAUCUUAUAUAUAUACAUCCAUCUCUCUUAUCGAGAG